CUCCAUUGGCUGUUUGGAUUUUAUGUGUUGAUUUCUUAAGGCAUCUAUCUAUUUGUCUGUCUCUCUCUCUAUCUCUAUCUAUCUACCUAUUUUUCUAUAUGUCUCUCUCUCUCUUUCUCUUUCUCUAUAUCUACCUACCUACCUACCUAUCAAUCAAUCGAUUGAUCUAUCUAUCCAUCAACCAAUCGAUCCAUCCAUACAUUGAUCCAUCCAUUUCUCAAACCACACCAUAUCCUUAUGAUAGGUCUAUCCAUUUCUCAAAUUGAUCCGUGUCCUUAUGAUAGGUCUCGGUCUUUGUAGGAUUGAGAGCAAAGCAGAUGCGCACCCGUCACAAAAGUUCGGGCUGCUAGCGAGGACACAUAAGUUCGCUUGAGGAGGUCCUUUAAUCCCUCUCUUUUCCUAUUAAAUUGAACUUCCGUUUUUGCUACCCUCUACUUAUGGUCGGAGCUUGGUUUACAGGUACAACUUUUGUAACUUCAUGGUAUACCAAUAGGAAUUGGCUAAUCCAUGGGUAUACCACGAAGUUACAAAAGUUGUACCUGUAAAUCAAUCUUCGACCCUAGGUAGAGGGCAGCUAAAAUGGAAGUUCAAUUCAAUAGGAAAAGAGAGGGAUUGAAGGACCUCCUCAAGCGAACUUAUGUGUCCUUGCUAGCAGCUUGAACUUUUGUGGCGGAAGCGCAUUCGUUUUGCUCUCGAUACUACAAAGACCGAGACCUAUCAUAAGGACGGAUGGAUGGGAUAUUUUCUAAACCAUAGUUUUGAUGGGUAAUCUCAGCAGAAAUAUGCUACCGCAGAGAGAUACAUAAUCGGGCACUUUAAAAUGCAUCUUUUUUCUCUGUUUUUUGUUUUUAUUUUCCCACACUUUGAUAUGCAUCUUUUUUCUCUGUUUUUUGUUUUUGUUUUUAUUUCCCCAAAAUUUACUUUAGCACAAGGAUCAAACUAACAUAUUGUAGUCAUUGGAUGGAUGGAUGGAUAUUUUCUAAACCAUAGUUUUGAUGGGUAAUCUCAGCAGAAAUAUGCUACAGCAGAAAUAUACAUAAUCAGGCACUUUAAUAUGCAUCAUUUUUCUGUGUUUUUUGUUUUUGUUUUUAUUUCCCCACACUUUAAUAUGCAUCUUUUUUCUCUGUUUUUUGUUUAUUUCCCCAAAUUUACUGUAGCACAAGGAUCAAACUAACACAUUGUAGUCAUUACUUGGCUGUCUCCUAUGUUGCCAUCUUAAAAUAUGACGUUGAGUGUUUUAAUAUUCAAUGCUGGCUUAGAGCUUGUAAAAAUCGCUACCCUGGGUUAUCAUGUCAAAGUCACAGUCCUAGCCCUGUUUCUUGCACAACAUGAUCAGGUUUAAUUAAUAUUAUUUGUUCUGCAUCUGCAUGUUACAAUGAAGAAGUACUUGAGCUGUUCGUUAGGCCCAAUCACAUUUGAUGCCUAGAUUUGUCAUGUUUCUUUUUUGUGGUCCAUGGUUUUGAGCAGAAAAAAAUCUUCAAAUUUGUUUAGUGUAUUACUACAAGUGGAGAGCCUGUUGAUUACUGCUUGCUUAUAUUUAAUCUACUGAAUAAAAUUCUUCUUUUUUAACUGUUGCUGC
rnacentral:lncRNA from 1 species